AGAAGUCGGCCCACUUCAGCUGUGCCUGGAGUUUCUCAAGCUUUUCUCGGUUCUCAGCCUUAUCGAGUGGCAUAUGUGCCAGUAGUCUGCUCAACAGCCUUAAGGCCAUGUGGCACUUCGAGGUGGGUCAGAGGAUCGGUCGAUGACACCAAACUUCUUGGGCACAGAGAAGCUUCGUUGAUGCCGGCUCCGUUCGGCAGUUGCGGUGUUGCCGCU
rnacentral:lncRNA from 1 species